GUCGAGAAUCUUUCACAAUGGGGGCAACCCUGAUGGAGCGACGCCGCGUGGAGGAUAAGGUCUUCGGAUUGUAAACUCCUGUCAUGCGUGAACAAGGUUGCUUGGUUAAUACCUGGGCAAAUUGAUGGUAACGCAAGAGGAAGAGACGGCUAACUCUGUGCCAGCAGCCGCGGUAAUACAGAGGUCUCAAGCGAUGUUCGGAAUCACUGGGCGUAAAGGGUGCGUAGGUGGCGUGGUAAGUCAGAUGUGAAAGCCCGUGGCUCAACCUCGGAACUGCAUCCGAUACUGCCAUGCUAGAGUACUGGAGAGGUGACUAGAAUUCUCGGUGUAGCAGUGAAAUGCGUAGACAUCGAGAGGAAUACCAAAGGCGUAGGCAGGUCACUGGACAGUUACUGACACUGAGGCACGAAGGCCAGGGGAGCGAACGGGAUUAGAAACCCUUGUAGUCC
rnacentral:rRNA from 1 species